CCUACGGGUGGCAGCAGUGAGGAAUAUUGGUCAAUGGACGCGAGUCUGAACCAGCCAAGUCGCGUGAAGGAUGACUGCCCUAUGGGUUGUAAACUUCUUUUAUACGGGAGUAAACUGAGACACGUGUGUCUUUUUGUAUGUACCUUAUGAAUAAGGAUCGGCUAACUCCGUGCCAGCAGCCGCGGUAAUACGGAGGAUCCGAGCGUUAUCCGGAUUUAUUGGGUUUAAAGGGUGCGUAGGUGGUUUGUUAAGUCAGUUGUGAAAGUUUGCGGCUCAACCGUAAAAUUGCAAGUGAUACUGGUAGUCUUGAGUACAGUUGAGGUAGGCGGAAUGCGUGGUGUAGCGGUGAAAUGCUUAGAGAUCACGAAGAACUCCGAUUGCGAAGGCAGCUUACUAAACUGCAACUGACAUUGAGGCUCGAAAGUGUGGGGAUCAAACAGGAUUAGAUACCCGGGUAGUC
rnacentral:rRNA from 1 species